AAAAUUUAAAUCAAAGAAUUUCUCUCAUUGAAGAUGAAACAAGUUUUGCUGAUAGACUAAAAGCAGUUGUGCAUGAAGUUUGCAUGGAAUCGAGUAAAAUUAGCAGUAAUAAUAAUAAUAAGGAAAGCGAAGAGGCCAUUCAGCAGAUUUAUUAUUUAACUCAAGAAAUUUUAAAUAAAAGACAAAAUGAUGUUCAAUUAAUUCAAAGUACUUACGCGCUACUUUGCGAUCUUUUGAGGCAUGAAGAUGAUUUAAAAGUUAUAGUAGACAAGAGCAUCGCAGAAAAAACUUUUGUGCAGCCAAAAAGUGAACAGAAGAUAUCCGUCCUUUCUAGUGAAUCUACAGAACACUUGGCUUUUUAAGGU